rnacentral:rRNA from 1 species
UAGGGAAUCUUCCACAAUGGACGCAAGUCUGAUGGAGCAACGCCGCGUGAGUGAAGAAGGUUUUCGGACCGUAAAGCUCUGUUGUUGGUGAAGAAGGAUAGAGGUAGUAACUGGCCUUUAUUUGACGGUAAUCAACCAGAAAGUCACGGCUAACUACGUGCCAGCAGCCGCGGUAAUACGUAGGUGGCAAGCGUUGUCCGGAUUUAUUGGGCGUAAAGCGAGCGCAGGCGGAAGAAUAAGUCUGAUGUGAAAGCCCUCGGCUUAACCGAGGA